GAACUGGAGAGUUUGAUCCUGGCUCAGAUUGAACGCUGGCGGUAGGCCUAACACAUGCAAGUCGAACGGCAGCAGACCGUGACAAUCCCUUCGGGGUGCGUUUGGUGCUGGCGAGUGGCGGACGGGUGAGUAACACGUA
rnacentral:rRNA from 1 species